rnacentral:rRNA from 1 species
GGGGAAUAUUGGACAAUGGGCGCAAGCCUGAUCCAGCCACGCCGCGUGAGUGGUGAAGGCCUUCGGGUUGUAAAGCUCUGUGGGUAGGGACGAAAACGGUCCGGAAGAAACGACGGAUCCUUGACGGUACCUACUUAGCAAGCACCGGCUAACUCUGUGCCAGCAGCCGCGGUAAUACAGAGGGUGCGAACGUUGCUCGGAAUUACUGGGCGUAAAGCGCGUGUAGGCGGAGCGCUAAGUCGGGCGUGAAAUCCCCAGGCUCAACCUGGGAACUGCGCUCGAAACUGGCGUUCUCGAGUAUCGGAGAGGGUGGCGGAAUUCCUGGUGUAGAGGUGAAAUUCGUAGAUAUCAGGAGGAACACCGGUGGCGAAGGCGGCCACCUGGACGAUCACUGACGCUGAGACGCGAAAGCGUGGGGAGCAAAC